CUGGGGUGCUCGAGUGGCUAACGGGUGAGUAACACGUGGGUGAUCUGCCCUGCACUUCGGGAUAAGCUUGGGAAACUUGGUCUAAUACCGGAUAGGACCAUCGUUUAGUGUCGGUGGUGGAAAGUUUUUUCGGUGUGGGAUGAGCUCGCGGCCUAUCAGCUUGUUGGUGGGGUAAUGGCCUACCAAGGCGUCGACGGGUAGCCGGCCUGAGAGGGUGUACGGCCACAUUGGGACUGAGAUACGGCCCAG
rnacentral:rRNA from 1 species